AUUGAACGCUGGCGGCAUGCUUUACACAUGCAAGUCGAACGGUAACAGGCCGCAAGGUGCUGACGAGUGGCGAACGGGUGAGUAAUGCAUCGGAACGUGCCCAGUCGUGGGGGAUAACGCAGCGAAAGCUGCGCUAAUACCGCAUACGAUCUAUGGAUGAAAGCGGGGGACCGUAAGGCCUCGCGCGAUUGGAGCGGCCGAUGUCAGAUUAGGUAGUUGGUGGGGUAAAGGCUCACCAAGCCGACGAUCUGUAGCUGGUCUGAGAGGACGACCAGCCACACUGGGACUGAGACACGGCCCAGACUCCUACGGGAGGCAGCAGUGGGGAAUUUUGGACAAUGGGCGCAAGCCUGAUCCAGCAAUGCCGCGUGCAGGAAGAAGGCCUUCGGGUUGUAAACUGCUUUUGUACGGAACGAAACGGCUCUGGUUAAUACCUGGGGCUAAUGACGGUACCGUAAGAAUAAGCACCGGCUAACUACGUGCCAGCAGCCGCGGUAAUACGUAGGGUGCAAGCGUUAAUCGGAAUUACUGGGCGUAAAGCGUGCGCAGGCGGUUUUGUAAGACAGACGUGAAAUCCCCGGGCUCAACCUGGGAAUGGCGUUUGUGACUGCAAAGCUGGAGUGCGGCAGAGGGGGAUGGAAUUCCGCGU
rnacentral:rRNA from 1 species